AGUUCUGGAAGAGGAAAUUCUGCAAACCAAAUCUGAACUCAGGAAAGGGAGGUACUAGCAAACUUGCUGUGCUGAAGUAAAACACAAAAGGCCCGUCUUUGCAAUUGUGCCCGAUUGAACAUUACCAGUAAAUGCAGAAGUGUGGAGCCAGACUGGUACAAAGCAGUACACAGACAAGAGAGAAGAUCUUUGUCUUACUGGGCCUCUUCACUGGGACUGAACAAAGAGGUGGCAUCGUAACCUUUACUGCAAAGCAGAGUUCAAUACAGGCAAAG